UACGUAAGGUGCAAGCGUUGUCCGGAAUUAUUGGGCGUAAAGAGCUCGUAGGCGGUUUGUCGCGUCUGCUGUGAAAAUCCAGGGCUUAACCCUGGACCUGCAGUGGGUACGGGCAGACUGGAGUGCGGUAGGGGAGAUCGGAAUUCCUGGUGUAGCGGUGAAAUGCGCAGAUAUCAGGAGGAACACCGGUGGCGAAGGCGGAUCUCUGGGCCGUAACUGACGCUGAGGAGCGAAAGCAUGGGGAGCGAACAGG
rnacentral:rRNA from 1 species